CUCCUGAGGUCUGGGAUUUUAGCAUGCACCACUGCUCCCAGCAUUAUUAGUAUUCUUGAUGACUGCCAUUCUGACUGAUGUAGAUGAAAUCUCAGUGUAGUUUUGAUUUGCAUUUCCUUGAUUGUUAAUAAUGUAGAAUAUUUUUUUCAUAUGUAUUUGUAUUUCUUCUUUUGAGAAAUUUGUGUUUAAUUUGUUUGCCCUUUUAGUAAUUGUGUUAUUUGAUUUUUUUGGUGUGAAGUUUUUUGAGUUCUUUAUAUAUCCUAGAUAUUAACCUAUGUCAGAAGAGUCACUAGUAAAGAUUUUCUCCCAUUCUUUGGGUUCUCUCUUCACAUUCUUAAUUGUUUCCUUUGCUGUGCAGAAGAUUUUUAAUUUGAUACCAUCCCAUUUAUUAACUGUUGGCAUUAUUUCCUGAGUGUUAGGUAGUCUGUUGAGUUGGAGUGAUGAUCCUACAUUUUCUUCUAGGAGUUGUACAGUUUCUGGUCUAAUUCCUAGGUCUUUGAUCCAUUUUGAGUUGAUUUUUGUGCAGAGAGAGAUAAAAGUCUAGUUUCAUCCUUCUUCAUAUGGAUAGCCAGUUUCCCCAUUUAACUGGAACAUUCAAUCCAUUUCUGUGUCAUAAAAUUAUUGAUGUGUUGCAGUUAAGAUAUAACCCUUUAGCUUAAUCCCUUUUACUGUAUUUGAUUCCUCUUUACAAUCUUGCUGCCUUCUGAAUUGGUUAAUUUUCAUGAUUUAAUCUUUCCCUUCAAGUAGGUUAAAAACUUCAUCUCAAUCUGCUUCUAUAACUUUGGCAAUUAAUCUAGGAAUUAAAACUAGUUGUCUUAAUUCAUUUGGACUGCUAUCACACACCAUCAUUAACUGGGCAGUUUAUAAAAACAUCAGAUGUUUAUUUUUGACAAUUCUGAAGGCUGGGAAGUGUGAGAAGGUGCCAGCAGAGGAUCAACUGAGGGCACCUUCUGGUUCAUAGACAGCACCUUCUACUUGUGUCCUCACACAGUGAAAUGGAAAGGGCAGCCUCCUUUGUAAAACCACUCUAAAGCUUCUUUUAACAUAGCUCUAAUCCCCUUCAUGAGAGCUCCACCUACAUAAUCUAAUUACCUCCCCAAACCCCACCUCCUAAUACCAACACAUUGGUGAUUAGGUUUAAACAUGAAUGUUGGGGAAGCAACAAACAUGGAUAUCAUAGCACGAGCCUUCUUAACAAUGUCUGAUGCCAAUUUAUCACUCAGACAGCAGAAGAAAAGUCUAAUCAGCAGAAGAUUAUCUAAAUGUCAAUCAGUUGAUCAAUAUACCCAUUUAUCUAUCUUGCUCUUAAAAAUGAUUCUUCCUAGUUGCUUAGGAAAUUGUGGGAACAAUCUAAGUCUGAAAUCUACAUGGUGGGAAGUCAGAAAGAGAAGGUCACAAACAGACUGGAACUCACAGGGAAGGCAACUGCUGUCCACAGUAAAAUUCCUUCCAGAAUUUUUACCUUGAAUAAUCACCUGGAGUAAAGUCAAUAGAUUUAUUGCAUGCCCUCCUAGCAGCACAUAGAUUAGUGUUUGAUGGAAUACCAAAAGAUGGAGGCCCAGCCAUUUUCAUCUAUCAAUUAUUACACCUAUGUAUGAGUAUGAGUGCACGAAUGGUGUAACCCUACAUCAUGUACAACCACAGAAAUGGAAAGUUGUGCUCCAUUUGUGUAAAACAUAAAAUACAAAUUAUUAAAAUAAAAAAGAAAACUAUCACAGCUAGUUAAUACCUUUCCACUCUUCUCAACACUGAGAGCUUAUAAGACAUCAAUUCUCUUUUCUCAGUUUAUAUACCAUUGUCAUGUAGUUUAUAUAUGUGUGUGCGUGUGCACACUUGUGUAUUUAAACAGCAUAAGAUUACAUAUAUUCAUAUAUUAUAUAUAUUUGUUUUGUAGUCAAUGUUAAUUUUGAUUUACUCCUGUGUAUAUCACUUUCUUGGCUCUUCAUUUCUUCUUUUAUCAUAGACCCUAUAUCCAGGGGCAUUUUCCUUUUUCUGAAGUAUAGUUCAUUUGUUUUUGUUUUAUUAAUGUGAAUUUAUGGAAGCAAUUUUCUCAAAUUUUAUUGAUCAAAUUUCAUUCUUGAAAAAUUAUUUGUGUAUGUAGAAUUCUAGAUUGGUAAUUACAGCUUUCUCCAAAUUUAAAAAGCUCUUUUAACAUCUUCUAGCUUGUUACCGCUAUUGAGAAGUCUGCUGUAAGUCUAACCAUUAAUUGCCAUUAAAUGAAUCUGACCUUUUCUUUGGCCAUGUUAAGAUUUCACUCUUUUCUUUGGUUUUCUGUGUAUUCUUUAAAAUGAAGCAAGGCAUUCAUACCAGUGAUACCACCAGUUACUGGAGAGGAAUCCUGCUUCCUCACAUGUUGAAGUAUAACAUUAGAGAAGCACACCAAGGCAAGCAUAUAAAGCAGGGUUUAUUUAGAAAGGGGUAACAUAGACUUCUCCCAGGAGGAAGAAGGGGGCCAUGGCUGGUAUCCUGGUAUCUUAAGAAGUGAGGGUAUUCUGCUUUUUUUUUUUUUUUAAUGUCUUAGGCUUCCUUUGUUCUCCUGCUCUCUUCCCCUUAUCUCUCUCCUUUCUGUGUAUGUGACUAGGCCCAGGAGAUGCUCAGGUGGAAUGACCAAAAGGUGAGAAGCAGAUGGACAGGGGGAUUGGCCAGAUGAAGCAGCCCAGGACACAUUAAUUAACAGCUUUUACAACUCCCUGUAGGGAGGGACAAUUCCUGGGGCAGAUUACCUUAGCAACAGGUUGGAACAGAGCAGAUUAUCAUGAUAAGGGUGGAGGAAGGGCUCUGAAGUCCCUAGGAGGCAGACUCCAACUUUCUGGACUUACUCAAAUUGGCCUCCUUGAUCCGACCUGACUCGAUUUACCUAUCUAUGUUGACUGCCUGGCUAAUUCUGGCUUCACCAGCAUGAACCCAUUCAGGGUCCAAAUUGGACUUUUAUUACUUUUGCCUAAUAAACCUAACAAGUAAUGGUCAUGUUAAUGACUGUUCUUAAGAAAAUGAAUUUUUUUUUUUCAUUUUAACAUUUGAAUUUUGGUAGUAUUAAUGCUUUUCUUACUGGAAAGAAGAAUGUAAUUUUUCAGUUGUUUAAUUUUGCAUAGUUUUUUUUUUUAUUUUUAAAAUACUCUAAUAUAUAUGUUGUUUUUGAAAUUUGUUUUAUUCAUUAAACUUUAUACUUUUGAUAUUUAAUCAUAGUGUUUAAAACAUUAAGUUUUCAUUGUAUAUAGGGUAAGUAUCAAUUAUGAUAAUGUACUGUGUAUUUCAAGAGCUGGAGAAAGGAUUUUGAAUGUUCUAACUGCAAAGAAAUAAAUGUUUGAAGAGAAAGAUAUUUGUCCUGAUUUGGACAUUGUGCAAAGUAUACAUGUAUUAAAACAUCAUAAAGACCCCAUAAAUAUGUGCAAAUAAUUAUCAAUUAAAAAGAUGUUUUCACCAUGAAGAAAUGAUAGAUCAUUGAGAAGAUAGAUGUUUAGCUUGACUUAAACAUUACACAGACUAUACAAACAGGGAAAUACCACAUAGUAAACUGUUAUUAGGUAUAAUUUUUGUUUUAAUCUAUCAUUUUUUCAAAAAAUUAAAGAAAAAAUGAAAAUAUUGAUAAAAUAAGCAAAUAUGAUAGUAGAUUAAUGGCACAAAAUAUUAGUGAGUUAAACAACUGAGUGUCAAAUAUAGUGGAUGGUUAAAGAAGAUUUAAGAGAAUAUUUGUGUUCUCUUACACAGAUUGUGGUGAGAUGUGAAUCCCUUUUCUGUGGCCCCACCCCUUUGGCCUUGUGCGCUGCAUCCAACAUGGCUUCUCUCUUGGAUGGCUCUGCCCAUUGCUUCCUACAGCUUUCCUUGGCAGAUGUUCCAUGUUACUAGAAUCUCUUAAUUCCUGAGGUCUCCACUGCAGCUUUAGCUUCAUUCUCACAUUUUUAUGCAUUUCUGUCUCAGGGGCUACCUGAAGGGAUGCUGACCCUCCUGCACUUUGCCUGGCCUCCCAGGACUUCCUUUGAAACCUCAGUGGAGGCCUCCAUGAUCCCCAACUCCAGAAUCCUACAUUCUUGAACAACUGGCACCACAUGGAUGAUGCCAACUCCUGCUGCCAGCUCAAGGAAUAGCUGGGCUCCUUGACUAUGGUUGCAGGGGCCCUUGAAUCUAGACAACUGAACAUUAUUUAAGGACCCAUGAGGAAGGAACUUCAUAGGUCCCUCUUAUGGAGGCAGGGUGCUCCUAUGAUCUCUUUUCAAAUGAAUUUUUAUUUUACACCCUUAAGACUUCAAUGGGUGUAGUUUCCUAAGGUGCCCUUAGGGAAUCUUUUCUAUUAUCUCUGGAUAAAAUACUUAGCUUCUCUUUAGUGGUGGUAAUCUCUUCAGCAACCACAUCUACUUCUUUGGCUAAACUGAAAGCUUUUUCAAUCUUUCCUGGUUUUUUUGCUUCUCAUUAUCACAGUAAAUUUGGAUAAAAAACCACCAGCAAUACCCAUUCAACUUUCUGAAUUUGUGCUGCCUUGAACUUUACUCCCCCAGAUUUAUUAGUCCAUCAACUAUAGAUUGAGACUCAAAGUUUCAGGUCAUGGGCAAAUUGCAGAAAAGUUCUUUGCUGUCAUGUGACUGUAUCUAAUGUGACUUGUCUCUAAUCCAAUUCCUAAGAGUCCUCAUUACCAUCUGAAACCUCAUGAGCAUAGUCUUUUUACUGUUCAUAUUGUUAUCAACAUUCUGGUCUUCUCCGCUCCCAUCAGAAUUACCUAAAAAACUUUGCUUUUAACAUUCUAAGUUUUCUCCAGCCUGCAUCUCCAAACUUAUCCAAACUCGUGUCACAAACCAGUUCAAAAGGCUUCUGAACCAAAUGGUCAGGUUACUCACAGCAACAACCUUACUUUUCAGUAUCAAUCUACGUGUUAGUCAGCUUUUCAUUGCUGUGACCAAAGUAACUGACAACAGUUACUUAGCAAAGAAAUAAUUUAUUCUCAGUUCAUAGUUUUAAGGAUUAAACCUCUGAGUUGGUGAACCCAAAAUAAGAUUUUCUUUACGAAUUCUCAGUUGAUAUAUAAUUUUAAGCACCUAACUAAUUUUAGAAAUGAAAUUUUAAGCAUCUAAUUUUAGAAAUGUAAGACAAUGAUUUCAUUCUUCAACAUUUAGUAUUAUAGACUCAGUUAUUAUUUUGGUGUUAUCAAAAUAAAUUUUUUUUCUGUAUGUGUUUAAGGUUUUUUGCUUUUGUUUUUUUAUGUUUGUGUUUUAGCAGAGCCUAAAUAUAGGUUUCCUUUGUGUAUAUACUCGGGGGAGUUUGCCAAGAUUUACAUUUGUGUUUUGAUUUCUCUAAUCAAUUUUAGGUACCUUUGAGCUAUUAAUUUUUCAGUUAUUACUUCUGUCAAUUUUCCCUCCUUUGAAACUCCAGUUAUUCAUAUGUUCUGUUACUUGACACUGCAUGACACAUUUUUUUACUCUGUUUGAUUUGUUCUUAUUUAUGCACUUUAGACUUUCUGUAUUUCAUUUGUGGCAUUUCUACAUUAGACUUUCUUCAAGUUUAAUAUAUUUCACUCUGUGUCCAUAUGACUCAUGAGACAUUAUUUCACAUAUUUAUUCUGUACUUUCAGAAUAACACAUGAUUUUUAGAGUCAUUUUGUUUUGGGUACCUUUUUAUUUUUACUUAUUUACAUCUUCUUUAUAUAGUUUCUUUAACAUACUUAAAAGAGUUAUUCUAAAGAUAUUGAUAGCAUUGUAGCUUCAGGAGCUAAGUGUCUGCUAUUUACUAACUUUAUUUUCUCUUCCUGGACAGACUUUUUCUCCUUUCAUGUGUGCUUUAAUUUUCAUUUGAGUCCAUACAUUUUGUAUGAGAUGGAAUGUUAUGACUUAAGUUUAUAUAAUUACUCCCACCAAUGAGAGUGUUUGCUUUCUUUUGAUCUAAUUAAACUCAUUUGGGCCUGGGUUAUAUUUUAGUUUGUGUCAGUCCACUUCUGGUAUGAAAAUAUGCAAAGAGAGGACUGU
rnacentral:lncRNA from 1 species